ensembl:lncRNA
GGGUCCCAGGGGGGUCCCCAGGCCGGGGGUCCGCUCUCACCGCGCAGCAGAGCCCUCACGAAGCGCCCGGCUCCCGGCACCGCCAGCCACCAACUCCCGGCAUCGCGCACGGUCAGGAGCCCCGCGGCCACCAGAGCCCUGCUGGGGCCACCAGAACCCGGCUGGGGCCACCAGAGCCCUGCCGGGGCCACCAAAACCCGGCUGUGGCCACCAAAACCCGGCUGUGGCCACCAAAACCCGGCUGUGGCCACCAAAACCCGGCUGGGGCCACCAAAACCCGGCUGGGGCCACCAAAACCCUGCUGUGGCCACCAAAACCCAGCCAUGGCCACCAGAACCCGGCUGUGGCCACCAGAACCCGGCUGGGGCCACCAAAACCCGGCUGUGGCCACCAGAGCCCUGCUGGGGCCACCAAAACCCUGCUGGGGCCACCAAAACACGGCUGUGGCCACCAAAGCCUGGCUGUGGCCAUCAGAACCUGGCUGUGGCUACCAGAACCCGGCUGUGGCCACCAGAACCCGGCUGUGGCCACCAGAACCCCCCAGAGCCACCCUGGGGGUCCCAAACCCCACCCUGGGCUGUCCCCAGGUCCCCCCAGGUGUCCCCAUGACCCCCAGGUGUCCCCAGGUGUGUUCCAGGUGUGUUUUUGGUGUCCCCAGGUGUCCCCCCAUGACCCCCAGCUGUCCCCAAAUGUCCCCAGGUGUCCCCAGGUGAGGUUUUGGUGUCCCCAGGUGUGUCCCAGGUGUCCCCAUGUCCCCCCAGGUGUCCCCAGGUGAGGUUUGGGGUGUCCCCAGGUGUGUCCCAGCUGUCCCCAGGUGUCCCCAGGUGAGGUUUUGGUGUCCCCAGGUGUCCCCAGGUCCCCCCAGCUGUCCCCAGGUGUCUCAGGUGUGUCCCCAGGUGAGGUCUGGGGUGUCCCCAGGUGCUCCCAGGUGUGUUCCAGAUGUGUCCUCUCUAUCCCAGGUGUCUCAGGUGUAUCUCAAAUCCCCCCAGGUGUCCCCAGGUGAGGUUUGGGGUGUCCCAGGUGUGUUUUUGGUGUCCCCAGGUGAGGUUUUGGUGUCCCCAGGUCCCCCCAGGUGUCCCCAGGUGUCCCCAGGUGUCUCAGGUGUGUCCCCAGGUGUGUUCCAGGUGUGGUUUUGGUGUCCCCAGGUGUUCCCAGGUGUCCCCAGGUGAGGUUUUUGUGUCCCCAGGUGAGGUUUUUGUGUCCUCAGGUGUGUUCCAGGUGUCCCCAGGUGUGUUUCAGGUGUCCCCAGGUGUGCCCAGGUGUCUCAGGUGUGUCCCAGGUGUUCCCAAGUGUGUCCCAGGUGUCCCAGGUGUGUUUUUGGUUUCCCCAGGUGUCCCCAGGUGUGUUUUUGGUGUCCCCAGGUGUCCCAGGUGUGUUUUUGGUGUCUCAGGUGUCCCCAGGUGUGUUUUUGGUGUCUCCAGGUGUCCCAGGUGUGUUUUUGAUGUCCCCAGGUGUGUCCCAGGUGUGUCCCAGGUGUGUCCCAGGUGUGUCCCAGGUGUGUUUUGGUGUCCCCAGGUGUCCCCAGGUGUCCCUUACGUCACAUCCCUGUCCCCAGGUGUCCCCCCAGGUGCCCCCAGGUGUCCCCAGGUGUCCCCAGGUGUCCCCAGGCGUCCCUUACGUCACAUCCCUGUCCCCAGCUGUCCCCAGAUGUGUCUCAGGUGUGUCCCAGGUGUCCCCAAGUCCCCCAGGUGUCCCCAGGUGUUCCCAGGUGUGUUUCAGGUGUCCCCAGCUGUCCCCAGGUGUCCCCAGGUGUCCUUAGGUGUGUCCCCAGGUGUGUUUCAGGUGUCCCCAGGUGUCCCCAGGUGUCCCCAGGUGUCCCCAGGUGUCCCAGGUGUGUCCCCAGGUGUCCCUUACGUCACAUCCCUGUCCCCAGGUGUGUCCCAGCUGUCCCCAGGUGUGUUUUUGGUGUCCCCAGGUGUCCCCAGGUGUCCCCAGGUGUCCCCAGGUGUCCCAGGUGUGUCCCAGGUGUCCCCAGGUGUGUCCCCAGGUGUCCCAGGUGUCCCCAGGUCCCCGCAGGUGUCCCCAGGUGUCCCCAGGUGUCCCCAGCUGUCCCCAGGUGUCCCCAGGGGUCCCCAG